ACUAGGGUUUUUCGAAACCCUAACAUUCCCCUCUUCGCUCUCUCUCUCUAGGGUUUCUGGGAACUACUCGCUCGAAGGAGGGGGAAAUGGAGCCCUCCCCGUCUUCGUCUUCUUCUUCUCCGCCCGCUCCCUCCUCCUCCUCCGCCCCCUCCCGGUGCUCGGAGCAGAGGAAGCUGUUCGUCGGCGGGAUCCCGUCGGCGACGACGGAGGAGAAGCUCAAGGAGCACUUCGAGAAGUACGGGGAGGUUAGGGAGGUGGCGGUGAUGCGGGAUCGGAUCACGAAGAACGGUAGAGGGUUCGGAUUCGUCCAGUUCGCGGAUCCGGGGGCGGCGGAGAGGGUUUUGGACGAGAAGGAGAAGGGAAACCAUGUGAUUUGUGGAAGAGCGGUGGAAGUGAAACAAGCAGAGCCAAGAAGUCAACAGAAUCAGACUCACCGUUCCUCUCAACACCAACAUCCAAAUCAGGGCCAGCAUCAAAAUCAGGGGUCAAAUAGGUUUAGUACUAACAAUAACAGUAAUGGUGGUAUUCAUUCAAAGUCAAAUAAGAUUUUUGUAGGUGGUUUGCCUGAAAGUAUAGAAGCAAAUGAUUUCAGAAGAUAUUUUGAAAAAUUUGGUGUGAUAACCGACGUGGUUGUGAUGUAUGACAAUGAUAAACGGGCAAGAGGAUUUGGGUUCGUUACUUUUGAUUCAGAGGAAUCUGUUGAUGAGGUGAUGCAGGAUAAUUUCCAUGAGUUGAAUGGUAAAUUGGUGGAGGUCAAGAUAGCUGUUCCCAAGAAUGGAAAUAGCCAUAGCAGUAGCAGCAAUCAGAAUUAUGGUAAUUACAAUUCCAGAAAUUUCCAGGAGAGAGGGCAUGCAUAUCAUAACUUUUCUGGUGGUAUGUACCCAUCUUACAAUUGGAGCUAUGGUCCAUAUCACAGUUACUUACUGCCACCACCUAUACAUAUGUAUUAUCACGGAGGCUAUGGUGGGAUGGGCUAUGUCGGCCCGUAUCCUGGCCCAAGAAGCCUUUGGGGCGGCCCUGGAAUGAUGCAAAGGCCGAGUUUUAUUCCAUACGGGAGUAUUUCUGUGUACCAAAGCAAUGCUAAUGGAGCAUUUUCUGGUCAUAAGAGGAAUUUUGGUGAUGCUUAUAGUGGGUUUGCAGGAUUUGGCAACUGCAUGAGUGGUCAAACUCGCCCAGUUAUGCAGUCAGAUGCAGUCAGCAAGGUAGCUGUGCAAAUGGAAAGUGUGAAAUUGGAGGAUCACUGACCUUUUAAUCGCUUCAGACGCCCCAUUAGAUAUAUAAACAGUGCUUUUUUAACUGAAGUAUUUUGUUGCUAUACUUCUGUAUUAUUGCAAGGAAGAGUGACUUAAACAUCAAUUCUUUGGCCCUACAUUUGCGCCUCACUUACAGGAGACUACGUUUACAUCUCACUGUGGAUUCACACUUUGACGCAGCUGAUAAUUCUUGCUGAACAUGUAACAUCGGAAUAAAUUCAAUUUUAUCACCAGUUUGUUGUUAACUUACUGAAGAUUUACCUCGUAGCUUUUACUGCAACUUGGUUUGGACCAAUAUAAAUUUUUUCCUUAAUUAUUAUUAUUAUACUGACUCGGCAAUACAA